CAGCAACCCCGGUUUCCUGGAGCCCGGCCUCUUCCCUUGGCAUCCGCCAGGCCUUGCCAAGGCCUGAACGCGAGGAGGGCGGGACGGGACGGGCCCCCUGGCCCAAGGUGCAGAGGAUAGUGUUCCGGGGUCAGCGAAGUCCGGCGGAACCUGCUCCCAGGAGUACCUUGGGUCUUCAGAGUAGUUCCAUCAGGCCGAAUGCCAAUGCAGAUAUCCACAAAGGAAAGCGGGACCUUUCAAGGGGUGGCUGUUCGGGCAACCGAGGACAGUUCCCACCUGCAGGCAGGGUGCUGGACUAUGUUGCACUGGAAGGAGAACGUAGGAAUUCUCACGCAGGAGAACUGUAUUAUUUAGGGAUGUAUGUUUUAUUCACUUAAUUGUGACUUCUUUGCAUUGUCUGCGGAGUGAAAUAAAAUCUGUCCUGUAUCAAUUAAA